UACGAAGGGGGCUAGCGUUGUUCGGAUUUACUGGGCGUAAAGCGCACGUAGGCGGAUUGGUCAGUUAGAGGUGAAAUCCCGAAGCUCAACUUCGGAACUGCCUUUAAUACUGCCAGUCUAGAGUCCGGAAGAGGUAAGUGGGAACUCCUAGUGUAGAGGUGGAAUUCGUAGAUAUUAGGAAGAACACCAGGUGGCGAAGGCGGCUUGACUGGUCCG
rnacentral:rRNA from 1 species